GCGUGAGUGAUGAAGGCCCUAGGGUUGUAAAGCUCUUUUACCCGAGAUGAUAAUGACAGUAUCGGGAGAAUAAGCUCCGGCUAACUCCGUGCCAGCAGCCGCGGUAAUACGGAGGGAGCUAGCGUUGUUCGGAAUUACUGGGCGUAAAGCGCGCGUAGGCGGCCUAUCAAGUCAGGGGUGAAAGCCCGGGGCUCAACCCCGGAAUUGCCUUUGAAACUAGUAGGCUAGAAUCUUGGAGAGGCGAGUGGAAUUCCGAGUGUAGAGGUGAAAUUCGU
rnacentral:rRNA from 1 species